rnacentral:misc_RNA from 1 species
GCGGCUACUUUGGUAGCCCCAAAGGUAUAUUCGUUAUCUAGUGUGGAGCUCUGUAGUCUAUUUAUCUAGUAUAUGGAUUAUUAUUUUGCUUUGGUCAAAUGAGAUUUGGUGGAUUUUGGUUGGAGAAACUUUUGUGCUUGGGCUUCUUGCCUUUUACUGAAUUGGGAAGCUUAAAGUAGAUUUAGAAUUCUAAUGGUUUUGGAAGCCAGCGUUUGUUUGUGAUUUUUAAUUGUGAGAUGUUUGAGAAAUCCUUCACGGCCCCUGCUAUUCCCUUUAUGAUGGUGUGGAAUUUAACUUUUUGUAGCAUUCCAUAGCCAACAUACGCUUCUUUGAUAAUUUUGAGUUGAUAGGUAGCUCUAGUUUGAGCUAUAAUGGUUUUGUCAGCUUAUCUUACAAAAUAGUCUUGAAUUUUCGUAGUACACUUCGAUUAAGCCUUUGG